rnacentral:SRP_RNA from 1 species
UAUGGGUCCCCUCACGGCGAUAAAUUGUGAACCCCGUCAGGUCCGGAAGGAAGCAGCGGUAACAAUGAUCUCGAGCGUCGGGGUGCGGCUCCUAGUG